rnacentral:rRNA from 1 species
ACGAACGCUGGCGGCUGCUUAACACAUGCAAGUCGAACGGAGUGGCGAACGGGUGAGUAACGCGUGAGCAACCUGCCUAUGACAGUGGGAUAGCCUCGGGAAACCGGGAUUAAUACCGCAUAGUCAUAGAUGGGCUCGCGUCUGAUUAGCUAGUUGGUGAGAUAACAGCCCACCAAGGCGACGAUCAGUAGCCGGUAUGAGAGGAUGAACGGCCACAUUGGAACUGAGAACCGGUCCAAAAUCCUACGGAAGGGAGCAGUGGGGAAUAUUGCACAAGGGGGGAAACCAUGAUGCAGCGACGCCGCGUGAACGAAGAAGGUAUUCGUAUCGUAAAGUUCUGUCCUAUGGGAAGCAGUACCAGAGAAGAAAGCACCGGCUAAAUACGUGCCAGCAGCCGCGGUAAUAC